rnacentral:snRNA from 1 species
AGCUUUUCUGGCCGAUUUGGCUUUGAUCAGUGUGUAGUAUCUGUUCUUCCGACGCUUAAUCGCGCGGACGUCGGGGCCUCUAUCCCCGGCCGCUCUUUUCAGCAUAAUUUUUUACUGCCCAUGGUGAGUCGGACCGCGGACCUCCUUUGUCGGGGAUCGCGCGACUCUGCCACUGUGUCCCUGGUAUCACACUGCCUCCAGGAGACGCGAAAAUAGG